UGCAUUUCAAAACAGAAAGCAUUGCUAUGAACAGUUCAGCAAUCCACGAAAGAAAACGGCUGCCUCCACCAAAAGGUCACCCAUAAAUCACAAGGAAACAUAGAAAGGACAUUAUGGCACAUUCAAUGGCACAUGGAGCAACGGUUCAGUUGCAGUAUAGGCCUAGAUUCAUGUGACUACGAACUAUAGAACAUGUACAUAGGGGGUGUUUGGGAAACCCCUGUUAAAGUUUAACACCUGUCACAUCGGAUGUUUGGAUGCUAAUUAGGAGUACUAAACAUAAGCUAAUUACAAAACUAAUUGCACAGAUGGAGUAUAAUUCGCGAGACGAAUCUAUUAAGCCUAAUUAGUCCAUGAUUUGACAAUGUGGUGCUACAGUAACCAUUUGCUAAUGAUGGAUUAAUUAGGCUUAAUAGAUUCGUCUCGCGAAUUAGCACAAGGUUCUGCAAUUAGUUUUAUAAUUAGCUCAUAUUUAGUCCUCCUAAUUAGCAUCCGAACAUCCGAUGUGACACUGUUAAAGUUUAGCACCUCAUAUCCAAACAGCCCCAUAGUUUGUGCAUACCGAUUUAGUUAUCUGAUGGUCAUCUUCAGAAAGCACAUUCUAGUUGCUCUGCCAGUUUAGACAUUCUCAUCACCAUGAGACUGCUCAUAUACUUGUAUAUCUUGAGGAUAGAAUGGAGG
rnacentral:lncRNA from 1 species